AUUAAACGCUGGCGGCAUGCCUUACACAUGCAAGUCGAACGGCAGCACGGGGGCAACCCUGGUGGCGAGUGGCGGACGGGUGAGUAAUACAUCGGAACGUGCCCUGGAGUGGGGGAUAACGUAGCGAAAGUUACGCUAAUACCGCAUAUUCUGUGAGCAGGAAAGCAGGGGAUCGCAAGACCUUGCGCUCUGGGAGCGGCCGAUGUCGGAUUAGCUAGUUGGUGGGGUAAAGGCCUACCAAGGCGACGAUCCGUAGCGGGUCUGAGAGGAUGAUCCGCCACACUGGGACUGAGACACGGCCCAGACUCCUACGGGAGGCAGCAGUGGGGAAUUUUGGACAAUGGGCGAAAGCCUGAUCCAGCCAUGCCGCGUGAGUGAAGACGGCCUUAGGGUUGUAAACCUCUUUCAGAUGGGACGAAGGUGAUGCGGUGAAUAGCCGAUGUCAUUGACGGUACCGUCAGAAGAAGCUCCGGCUAACUACGUGCCAGCAGCCG
rnacentral:rRNA from 1 species